rnacentral:rRNA from 1 species
GACGGAGGAUGCAAGUGUUAUCCGGAAUCACUGGGCGUAAAGCGUCUGUAGGUGGUUCGAAAAGUCCACUGUUAAAAAUUGAGGCUUAACUUCAAAGAUGCCGUGGAAACUUUCAAACUAGAGUAUGGUAGGGGUAGAGGGAAUUUCCAGUGGAGCGGUGAAAUGCGUAGAUAUUGGAAAGACCACCGAUGGCGAAGGCAGGUCUCUGGGCCAUAACUGACGCUGAGAAGCGAAAGCAUGGGGAGCGAACAGG